UUAUUGAAACUUCGGUCGAUUUAAUUUAAUUCUAGUGGCGGACGGGUGAGUAACGCGUGGGUAACCUGCCUUAUACAGGGGGAUAACAGUCAGAAAUGGCUGCUAAUACCGCAUAAGCGCACAGAGCUGCAUGGCUCAGUGUGAAAAACUCCGGUGGUAUAAGAUGGACCCGCGUUGGAUUAGCUGGUUGGUGGGGUAACGGCCCACCAAGGCGACGAUCCAUAGCCGGCCUGAGAGGGUGAACGGCCACAUUGGGACUGAGACACGGCCCAGACUCCUACGGGAGGCAGCAGUGGGGAAUAUUGCACAAUGGGGGAAACCCUGAUGCAGCGACGCCGCGUGAAGGAAGAAGUAUCUCGGUAUGUAAACUUCUAUCAGCAGGGAAGAUAGUGACGGUACCUGACUAAGAAGCCCCGGCUAACUACGUGCCAGCAGCCGCGGUAAUACGUAGGGGGCAAGCGUUAUCCGGAUUUACUGGGUGUAAAGGGAGCGUAGACGGUGUGGCAAGUCUGAUGUGAAAGGCAUGGGCUCAACCCGUGGACUGCAUUGGAGACUGUCAUACUUGAGUGCCGGAGGGGUAAGCGGAAUUCCUAGUGUAGCGGUGAAAUGCGUAGAUAUUAGGAGGAACACCAGUGGCGAAGGCGGCUUACUGGACGG
rnacentral:rRNA from 1 species